UACGGAGGGUGCAAGCGUUAUCCGGAAUCAUUGGGGUUAAAGGGUCCGCAGGCGGGAUUAUAAGUCAGGGGUGAAAGCCUACAGCUCAACUGUAGAACUGCCAUUGAUACUGUAAUUCUUGAAUUCGAUCGAAGUGGGCGGAAUAUGACAUGUAGCGGUGAAAUGCUUAGAUAUGUCAUAGAACACCGAUAGCGAAGGCAGCUCACUAGGUCUGGAUUGACGCUCAGGGACGAAAGCGUGGGGAGCAAACAGG
rnacentral:rRNA from 1 species